GACGAACGCUGGCGGCGUGCUUAACACAUGCAAGUCGAACGGAAAGGCCCUUUCGGGGGUACUCGAGUGGCGAACGGGUGAGUAACACGUGGGUGAUCUGCCCUGCACUUUGGGAUAAGCUUGGGAAACUGGGUCUAAUACCGAAUACACCCUGCUGGUCGCAUGGCCUGGUGGGGGAAAGCUUUUGCGGUGUGGGAUGGGCCCGCGGCCUAUCAGCUUGUUGGUGGGGUGAUGGCCUACCAAGGCGACGACGGGUAGCCGGCCUGAGAGGGUGUCCGGCCACACUGGGACUGAGAUACGGCCCAGACUCCUACGGGAGGCAGCAGUGGGGAAUAUUGCACAAUGGGCGCAAGCCUGAUGCAGCGACGCCGCGUGGGGAUGACGGCCUCGG
rnacentral:rRNA from 1 species